rnacentral:rRNA from 1 species
UAGAGUUUGGAUCCUGGCUCAGAUUGAACGCUGGCGGCAGGCCUAACACAUGCAAGUCGAGCGGCAGCGACAUCAACAAUCCUUCGGGUGCGUUGAUGGGCGGCGAGCGGCGGACGGGUGAGUAAUGCCUGGGAAUAUGCCCUGAUGUGGGGGAUAACCAUUGGAAACGAUGGCUAAUACCGCAUAAUCUCUUCGGAGCAAAGAGGGGGACCUUCGGGCCUCUCGCGUCAGGAUUAGCCCAGGUGAGAUUAGCUAGUUGGUGAGGUAAGAGCUCACCAAGGCGACGAUCUCUAGCUGGUCUGAGAGGAUGAUCAGCCACACUGGAACUGAGACACGGUCCAGACUCCUACGGGAGGCAGCAGUGGGGAAUAUUGCACAAUGGGGGAAACCCUGAUGCAGCCAUGCCGCGUGUGUGAAGAAGGCCUUCGGGUUGUAAAGCACUUUCAGUCGUGAGGAAGGCGUUAUCGUUAAUAGCGG